rnacentral:lncRNA from 1 species
AUCCUCUUGAACCAAGAUCCACUAUAAUAACCCUCUUCACCAUUACUAAGGCAAGGCAAAGGGUCAAACCCGCUUACAAUUUUUAAUCUUCAUGCAUUAUGCUCAAUAUUUCCAUGAUUAAACAAUAUCAAACACUACGGAGACAUUAAAUAUCAAAUCAACAUAUCCAACCAUGUAAAGCAUCACUUUACACAAGAUUUCAUAUAUCUCAAUCAUGUAACUAACUCCCAUGCAUGAUGCCUGAAGUUCAGAACCCGCUCGGGGUCCAACCCAUUUGGCUAAAAACCCCAUUAUAUCUGGUCUUGACCAUCGAGGUAUUUCUUGCAGCUGGGGCUCCUU